ACCCAAGCUGCCAGACGAAUACACGUGAGACAAGCUACCGGGCUGUCUGAAAUUACUGCUCGUCUUGUCCCUUGACGUUGGAAAAAACCAAAUGCAAAAGCCCAUCGCUCGUCCCGUCCCCGAGCAUUUGGUUCCAAACUAAGCGGCCGAGCUGUUGAAACCCCAGGUUCUGUGAUUCCGUCCAAGCAGCCAGACCUCGGACGAAGCCACCGGCGAUACUUCCUUCCAAGCGUUAUUGGCGUCCCGAGCAAAACUUGAAUUCCCUCUUUCUUUCUUUACAAAGACCUCGCUCUCUCUCCUCUGCUUUCUUGCUCCGUGUUCAGAGUUUUGGGAUGGGAUACUUGCACGUAAACACUUUUGGUAUCCGAUUCUGUUUUUUGUUCAGUUGGAUUCGCUUUUGAAAUAGAACCCAGAUUCCAGUAUCGGUAUUUUUUUAUUCUUUGGCCAGAUUUUGGAUUCGGUGUUUGUGAUUUUUGUAUUUGUGAUAUCUCUUCGUUUGAUUCGGAUAGGAGUUUGUUCUGAUAUCUAUAUUAGCUUUUUUGACCCAUCUCGAAUUCUCUUCAAUCACUGAGAGACUUUGGAGCCAAAUAAGGAAGCGAAAGCAGGGAGCUAUACAAGGUUCACGUUAAGGAGGCAAAGCGAGCGGGACAUCAGGCUGUCGGUAUCUUUUCUCAAUACAAAUUUAAAAAGACUAGAUUGUUAAGGAAACAAAGAUGGCCAAGGUUCAUUUCACGAAUUACUCUAUCGAGUUUAUCAUGCCGCCUUCUUCUAGUAAUGCCAGAGAUAUUUCCAUCAAAACCAUCCCUUCUGCAACAAAGCCUGAGAUCAAGAGGAUUUUAGAACUAGUACACGGAUGUGAAGUUGAAAAGGUACGGACGCUAAAUAUGAAAGGAAAGAAGAAGAUGCUAGGGGGGCGCUUGGUUGCUAGACCAGAUUACAAGAAGGCCUAUGUAACUCUAAAGAAUCCUUUAUCUUUCUCACAUUCCCAUCCAGUCCAUUUAGUUGAAGAUGAGAGGAAGAGCAUAAAUGUGAAGUCAAAACUAAGCAUCAUUAAGGAGUGAGAGAUCUCCCUCACUUUGACAGCAGGAGAGGUGCGCUGUGGCGCCUGAGAAGCAAUCAAGUUAGAGAGGCAGCAGUGGCAUGCACGCUGAUCUACACAGUUGGGUUUCUGAGUUUUCAUACAGCUCAAAGCAUUUUCAGAGGUAGUUAGGCUCUUAAAGGAAGAUUUUUCUUCGGUAAUCUACCCUUUUUACAUUUUGGAAAAGGAUAGAUAUCCAUUAUUUCUGCUUGAUUACGCAUGUGGAAGACAAUAACGUCAUUGCUCUAGGCAAUUAUGAUUUUCGGGAAAGAGAUUUGUUUAUGUUGUCUUGUUGUCUACUUGAGACAUCUCUUUCUAUUAGAGUUAUUCAUGCUUGAUUACUGUUAUCAAAGAGACUGCGAUUAUUGCUUUGGCCGACAA